UGAUAUAGCUGCAUGCGGCCUGCAAAUAAUCGUUUCAUUUUGUAUACGGUAUCGAGUAGACUAACUGCGGAUUAGUUCUUACAAUCCUGAUCACCUUAUCAAAAGAAAGGCAAUCCAGAGGGCCCAAGAAUGGGCGGAACAUCAGGAUGUUCCUGCCCCGACUCGGACGCAGCCAGCGGCUUCCGCGGGUCGCCCUCAGGAUCAAAUAAAGUUCACUGUCCGUCCGUCCGUCCGUCCGUCUGUCUGCAGUAUUUCUCAGCUUGGCACAAAUGAAACGUCAUCGUCCUAACCGAGUCUACAGUAAUCUGUUGGUGCUAAAGGCUCACUGGCGGUCAACGACAAUGCACAUUCAUUUGUUCUCUCUUCUGCUCGGGAUCGUUUACUGGGCGUUCAGUGAAGGAGGCACCUGUAAGUGAAGUGUACCUGUAACAUACCCCCAAACGCU